GACAGCAAUAGCAGUAGAAAAAGCCAAGACAAAUGUGAUUCAUACAAAGUCAAGUUGUAUUCAAAUAUAGAACUUGAGUACAUUAAAGAAGAAAAAUAUAAGUGUAAUGAUUGUGGACUGUUAUUGAAGUCACUGCCAGAGUUAGAAUCGCACACCAAGCAACAUUUAAAAAUAACAAGUUUUCCAAGUAAAUCAAAAUAUUUAAUUUGUGAUGGACAAUUUGAAGGUUCGAAUGAGCGGGCACUUAUUAAUCAGAAAGACAGUCAUGUAAACACUAUUAGUGUUCCACAAAAUAGGUCAAUAAUUUUUUG